GCAGAGACUGGGGGACCCUGUGAAUGGCGUCAAGGGUCCAUCUGCACUCAUGAACCUUAAAGGCUUUGACCUGGUUGAGGGAAUGAGUGCCGAGUAUAUGCACUGCGUUCUCCAAGGGGUAGUGCGGCAGUUCACGGAGCUGCUUUUUUCAUCUUCCAGCUCACGGCAGCCCUACUACAUGGGUGCACGGGGGUCUGUUGUCAAGGUCAAUGCACGCCUCCAAAGCAUCAAGCCUCCGC